AGCUUUGCACAGUGGCAGUAUCAUAGCCAAAGAGGUUUGUCCGAGAUGCGAUUAUUGCUAAUUGAAGAA
rnacentral:snRNA from 1 species